UGGGGCAUAAGCCUCAGUUAGGAACGUAACAUCCUGUGGUAAGGUAGAUCAUGGGUUCAAAUCCCAUUGCUCAAAA
rnacentral:tRNA from 1 species